rnacentral:lncRNA from 1 species
AAAACCGGCACGAAUCGGAGCAACCACGGCGUCCGCAAUUCGGGGACCAGCUCAGGGGUCCUGAUGGUGGGCCCCAACUUCCGAGUCGGCAAGAAGAUAGGCUGUGGGAAUUUCGGGGAGCUUCGCCUAGGUUGUUAGAGUGAGCCUUGAAGGAGCUAAUUUCCCUGGUGAGCCUGAGCUGCUUCCCUGCCUGAGCCCUCACCCUCCAACUCCCCUCCUGCCUUCCUGACUCUGAAGCCUGGUGGUCUGGCCUCGAGUGGCUGAGCGCCUUGGAUCUGUGGAGUGAUCAUUGUUGAUUAAAUUGGGAAGUCGAA